CCUGCAAGCAGGUGCAUGCUCAGAUGAGAUGGAGGCCAUGUGUACAGCAUGAUCACUAACAACUCACCUGAGGAGAGCAACAGCCCAUAAAUGUGCUCCUCAGAUAUAGUUGGGCUGUCUGAAGUGAGGUGAAUUGAGACCUGGGUUGGGGGAGAAGAGAAAGCUUGUGGUGGCACCCUGUUGGCCGCAUGCUGUGUCUCUCAAGGAACAGGUCUGGAUCUCAUGGCUGCAGAAACUAUCCCUGUAAUACUGGUUUGGUCCUUCUUGCUCAUUUUUCUCCUUACUUGUGCUGUGCAGUGUUGGAGAUGAAGAAGGGACUGUUCAUGAGGGCUGGACUGGGAGUGGGAUCAUGGCUGAUGUCUGAGUGCUUUUGUCCUCACAAAGCAUGCUACCUGCAAACAGCCCCAAAUCACUGAUGGAAGGAACGAGAGAUGUUAUGUUUAAACCUCUGAACUUUGAACCCCUGAUGCUGCAGCAAUUAGCACGUACUCAGCAACUCUGAACAUCAGUCACAUCGAAGUGAUAAGCAGCACAAACUUUUUUGUAGUCAGUCGCUGUGGCUCUUUUGUUUAAUCACGAGCUGAUAACAAUUAGCCAUUUCAAUCUACUGCUUAAUUUAAACACUAGACUAAUUUCCAAUCUGAGGCACUAUUCAGAAUCAACAUUGUAAUUAAUUCUAUGGAUACUUCUUUGGGGGAUAAAGUAUCUAAAGGUAUAGCAGGCUUCAUCUAGGGAUUAAUGUUACUGCUGGCAAAUGUCAGGCAUAUGGACGACGUUACAGCCUACUUGCUUUCUUCAGAUGUGUGAGUUAUUGAUUGCUUCAUCGAUGGCUGGUUCCUAGCUGUGUUUCAUUAUGCUGUGCAGCAGAGGGUUGUUUGUGUUUUGUUGGGUACGUUUGACCUGUGAUUGCCCUAUGAUAAGUAGUGGAGAAAGCAGGCUUUUUUUCCUUCUACUGUUGCUACUUUUCAAGUCUAGUCAAUAUGCAUAUGCUGCUCUGGUAUGACCCUGUUAACCUGCAUUGGAUUAAAGACUGGGUAAUUUAGAAAGAUUUUAUAUUUAAUUACAUCUAAUAAGCGAAAGAAUUCAGAAGAAAGCAGAUUGUCCCCCAUCAGUAAUGGGUCUGGUGCUGAGGCUGACUCUCAGUUUGGCUCACCUGGCCACACAACAGCAGGUGUUACCACUUACUGAUUUAUGUAGUGUGUGUGGGGUCAGCCCCCUCAGUGUGAAGCAGUGCAAUAGGGCGUGCAUGGCCUCCUGGUGCAGAGAGAGGAAGCUGUAUGUCUGCUGCCUUUCUACUGGGACUCUCCAGCAGCUUUGAAACAUCUCUGACCCCCCAGGCAGUUUUUGGGAGUGCAGAUCUGCUUAUGAAUGAGAACAAUUGCAGGAACUUCAGCGGGACCUAAUCAUUUAUCCCCCUACACUCGCAUUUUCUUUUGAACAGCUCUGAUAAUUCUUACAGCAAGACUUAAAUUGGUUGUCUCCUUCACUUCAAUAAAUUAAAACCACUGCCAGCGUGGCAGUCAGUGCUUUGAGUGAUGCGGCUUUACGUGACUUCCCACCUAAGCUGUGCUGCAGUGCCAGCGGAGCAGCCUUCAGAAAAUUUCUCUUUACUGCACUGCAGCCUGGAGUGAUGCUGUACACCACUGAGAAGGAAAUUCAUCAAUACAAGUAGGCAGCACCUUCAGAAAAGACACUCACUCUUACCUCGAGGACUUUUAAUCAUUUAUCUCCCGUGUUCAAACUUACUAUCACGAUUGUCCCAGUUUCACCGUAACCUCAAUGGUUCUUGAGUAAAUGUUGAAAUAAGGGCAGCUUUGAUGUUUGAAAACUAACAGAAGGUGGGCAGUGCUGCUGAAUCUGGGAAAGGUUUGAGGUCCCUCCCGUGUGGCUGCGCUGAGUGGCUGUGGGCAGGGAGGAGCGGGUGGUGUGGGAGCCUGGAAACGGCAAGAGUUUAAUUAUCCCCUCGGGUCACAACUUAACAGAAUAGCUGCUGAUGUUAAUGGGAAGAAUGCACAGAGGAGGAGGUGUGCUUGUGAGCUUGUUCUUUCCCCUCUCAUCUUUUCAGUGGUGAGUUCUUUUCAAUGCUUUUCCACGUGGCAAUAAUAGAGAGGACAGCAGGGUGUAAUCGAAGUCCAUUGCCCCGCGCAGCAGAGUGUGAGGGGUUGGGGAUAGUUUGGGUGAGCAGGGCUG